UCGGAUCUGGAAGCUCUCUCUUUCUCUCGUUUCCUUCAUCUCUCCCGCAUAACGCUUCUCUUGCUUAUUAUUCUUCUUCUUCCUCUGGUUUUCUCAAACGUCUCUUUUUUUGGUUUUUGUUGAUCACGGACGCUUUUCUUUGAAUGGAUUUUAGGUUUCAACAAACGAUUGCAAUUCGUCAAGCUACGAGCGGAAAAGAGUCGUCGUCAGCGGUUAGCAUGCCAUAUCUCCCGGAUGAUAUACUGCUGAAUUGUUUAGCCCGCGUCUCGAGAUUGUACUACCCAACUCUCUCCUUAGUUUCCAAAGUGUUUGCGAUGCAACGGAGCUGAUCUCUUGACUCGAGUAGCUAAACGGUUUUUAAACAGGGAAGAAUAGGCGUAUGGCUCAACAGGAGCUUAACGUUCGACUGUCCUCUGUUUUCUUUCCAAUCAGCCCACAACAGAUAACAAACCAUUUUGCAUAUCCUGCAACAGAAGAUGAGAAAUCGCAGCAAGACGAAUUGUUCAAGAUCUUAAACAUGAGUUUGGUGAUAAUUUCAAGAUUCUGGUUUAUAAAAAGUGAGCAGCACAAAGUAAAAGACUGGGGGAAAGAUUUGAUGUCUAUUUCUGGUAAGAUAGGAGAGGCGUUCAAAGAAGAGAGAGCACGUGAUUAGAGAAGUAAUCAAGAGGUUAAAGGAGCAUGGGCCGGAUUGGAGUUAAUGGAAACGAACAGAUUGAAUCUCUUCUUGGUAACAAAGUUAGGAUUAAGGAGGGAAGCUAGCAAGAUUGUUAUUCACAAUAAGUGGCAAGGACUGUUUAAAGUACUUCACUUAUCAUGCUGUCGGCCCUAACAAUCCUACUCCCGAGGAAAGUUACCUGAGGUUGUCCAGAAAGAUUCUAGAUUAAGCCCUCUAUAAGAAUUGCUAGUGGAGCUUCAUGGCGAGGAGGAUGACUGGAAAAAGGGAGUACACAAAGUUUCCGUUCCGAAAGAACUCGGUGAGAAGCAGAAAAGUUACAUUUCUUGUUUUUUUCGGAUCAGAGUCUGCAAGUUGUGUAAGAUGUAUGUUGGAUUCGGGUGUAAUAGAGAGAGAGAGGUUCCUCAUUAGUAUUUCUGGCGGUCAGAGUAGAGAUGCAAAGUUCAGUUUUGUAGACAUUCGGUAAGGAACCUUCUUCAGGAGCUCAGUGCAGGCUGUAGAACAACCAUUAGGAGAACUAUUGAAGUACAAAUCAGUAAGAGAAAUUAUGGAUGAAGACACAUUCACGUGAACAUGGAUCAAACCAAUGGUUUAGCUCUGUUUUUUUCAGCUUGUAUUCUGUUUCACUUUUGUACUUGGUUUUCAAACAAACUUUGUAAUAAGAUUUUAUUUUUAAUUCAAAAUAGAAUCUCUCUUGCAACU